GGGUGUGAUCAUACCAGCACUAGUGUACUAGAUCCCAUCAUAACUCCGUAGUUAAGAAUGCUUGGGCCAGAGUAGUACUAGGAUGGGUGACCUCCCAGGAAGUCCUGGUGUUGCAUCCU